UUUUGGAUUCGAGCAAAACUGAAAACACUCACUCUCUUUCCCUCUUUCGAACACAAGAAUACAGAUUUCUGUAGCUUUUGUUUAGAUUUUUCAAUCUUUGUAGUUUAUUAUGGUUCGAUUGUUAUGAUGCAGCGCUUCGAAGAGUUCUAAAUCGUUAAGAUAAUCUACAGAAAACAUUUGUUGUAUCAAACCCUAAUUUUUCAAUUUCUUAUAUUAUAUCAACAUGGUUUUUAAAUUUAUUGUUAUUUUAAAUUAUGGGGUUCCUCCUCUUCAUGGUGCUCGGUUUAGGCAAGAUCAGUGUCGCUCCUCUUCCUGUUCAAAUCAAUCUGUUUGGAUCAUUGCAGCCACUAAUGUUGUUUGAACCAAUCUCUAUGCAUCAAAUCAAUUUUAUGAGUAGAAAUCUUGUGGAUUUUUGCUAAAUUGUUGAGUUUGUGAUUGUACAAGAAAGCCAUGUAGAGCUUGGAGAUUUUAAAGCAUCAGGCAAUACGCAAUGGGGAGGACAAUGUCAAAGCUUUGUUUUGCAAGGACAGGUCAGUCUUUCUCUAAAUAACACAAAUUCUUGUACGAAAGAGCAAGCUCUUAAGGUUGUACGUAGAUGAGCAUUGUUCCUACAGAAAUGAUUGAGGUCAUUGCGCAGUGCAUUGGGAUUACACCCGUAUUUUGAUGUGCCUUCUGCCGUAUUGGUAUUGCGAUGGAGAUAGCAGAAAAACCAUAGCACAACUACUCAUUACCAAAUUGGACCUGCACACUGUGUAAAGUGUUGCGAUACAUUUCAAUUAGGCGCUCUAAUUUUCUCCCAGUGAUACCAUCGACUGCAUCUGAUUUUUCAAAUCACUAACCUAUUACCUAUCCAUGUGUGCAAGCUGCUAACAUGUUCAUGUUCAACGCCAGGCUACCAAAACACUUACAGAAAAUGGUUAAUAUUAUUUUGGUUGGCCUGGGUGUAGCAAGUAAGAAAGGUAUUAUGUCACUCAAUGGUCUUAAUAUGUUUGCAGGUAAGUCUUCGUAAAUCGAGAAGUGGUUAGUCUGUUAAUUUAUCAGUAUACUCCAUAAUUCCAUUAGUUUAUCAGUAUAUUUCAUUCACAGCUGAUCGUAGUCAUAUGGGCUAAUAUUUCAGUUUUGAAUUUAAUUGUUAUUCCACUCUGAACUGCAUGCAGGAGCGUUUCAAAUACUAUCCCCCCCAAUUGACACAACUACAAACAAAACGUUGUCUAUGGACUUAAAUGAAUCCAUAGGGAUGCUAGACAGAAUUUUACUAGGCUCUCCGAUCAUAUCUCUAUUAAUACCGAGUCCUUCCUAAGUAGAAUUAAAGGACAAGAAAUCAAUAAUUUGAUAGGAACAUAUCCUAAACCUGGAAUUGGACAUCAUCGUCCUUGACCUGUGAUGAAGAUGAUCAAGAGAAGGAACCAUCUACUACGACUGGGUAAUAUUACAGUAGUUCUUCACUCGGUGUUGACGAAAAAUAAUAAUGUCUCUCUGAGUAAAUAAUAGGUACACGUCUCUCUGAGUUAAUAAAAUGGCUACUUAUGAUAUUUUCGUAAUUCCGGUUUGGAUUACAGGAAAACAAAAAGAUCUCAUAAAAGAAAAAACAUGGCAUAAAGUGGCUUCAGGCACCAGCGAAGAUAAUGCGUCUUCUGAUAUGCAAUUUUGUUUUCGAAAGAAGCAUCAGCUAUGGUUUUGACAAGAGAUAAUUUCAUUACUACUGUGUCUGCUGUCGCCAAGGGUUGAUUGAUUUACAAUAACAUGAAAGGUUUUAUCAGGUACGUUCCGGAGCUACGUUUUUUUUUUUUUUUUUUAAUUCGGGAUAGAUAUACUCUGAAUGUCCUUAUAUAUUAUGGAUAUCCCCUGUAUGCAUAAGCGUCUUCUCAUUUACUUGGUUGUGUGUAGCAUGGUUCACAUCAAAUUUUUCUGUUCUGAUUCACACAUUUCCAAUUUGGAAAGACUUUUUUUUUGGGUGGGGGAAGGAACUUAAUAGAUAACUGUGUGUUUGUUGGCGUAUAUUGAUAUAUGUCAUCGAUUUAUAAUAACAUGAAAGAAUAGCCUUAUCUAGCUCAACCUGAUGUAUAUUGAAAUGGUAUGAGUGCUGAAAGAGGGAAGAUACCACUUAAACAUGACCAAACUUUGUAGUGUUUGUCUAUUUGAUAUUUGUGCAGUUAGACAUAAAUUUGUUACUGAGAUCCUGUACAUCACAAUGUCAUGCUUCACCCAGCGGAAGUUGGGUGGUGGAGCUCGAUAACUGUCUGGAGCUUGCAUUUUGUUAAGAAAACUUAUUGAGUUGUUUUUUCUUUAUCCAAACUCCGAUGAAGGACAGCAUGUUAAGCUGUGGCAAAAUUAAGAUCAAGAGUCUCUAAAUACCCAUCUCUCUCUUUUUUGUAUAUAUGGAUGCAAUGAGGCCUUUUUCAUGCUUGAACGCUUUACAGUAACAUAAAGUUUUACCAACAAAUGUUCAUUUCAAGGAUGAUCCAUAUGGACUGACAUACGUUAAGCAUUAACCAAUGAACUAUGAUAAUUGCUGGAUAAACCCGAUUAUUCUGGGUUGAUGGCAUGGUGAUUUGAAUUUCACUUGGAUACAACGGAUGUGGAGAAAAUCAAUGAUUACGCAGAUGUGGGCAUUUAUGAACAUGCCAAUUGGAAGCGAAAAUGACUUUAAAAAUAUUACAGAUAGUAACUUCUCAAGGUGAAGAACCAUCUUUUGAUUUCCCCUCUCUGCGGGUAUAUUGAGUACCCACGACCCUUAUUUGGUGGUGAAGAAAUCCUGGAGUUAAUGAAUACCAAAGAAGUUAAUUUUUUUAAAAGCUUAACACUCCAGAUUUGCAAAGGUGACAAGGCUUAUCGGAGAUUGGCUUAAAUAAACUUAAAGCAGGUAGAUCAGAUUUAUAGUUAAGGAACAAAAAUUCAAACGUUAUUACUGUAAUUGUUUCUUUGGAUUUUUCUGCAUUUUUGCUUUCUUUAAGACCAAGUUUAGUAAGUUGGAUAUCUAGACAGCCUUGCAGAUUAAAGAAUUAGGUUUUUUUAAAGGUAAGCUCCAUUAUUUCGCUGCCGCUGAAUGGCAUUUGCUUCUAUAAGCAUGUGGGUUUCCUUACAUUUUCCAGAUUUUAUAGAUCAUUUACUCACAGAACUUGCCUACACAAUGACGACAUCAUGUUGGGAUUAUGUUUUUAUUCUUCAAGCAAAGAGUAGAAAAGUUUAUCAAGGUAAAGCUGAUUUUUUUGAUCUAGGUCUAAAUCUGUUAAGCUACUUACUCAACAGAUUAGGAUUUCAUCCGAAAAAUCUUCCUUUUGUCUUCAAUUUUUGAAUUAUUAAAAUGGGUAGUGAGAAAUUACUUUCUACCACAUUGGCAUGUAGCGAUCUUGCUAAAAUAUGAGAUUGGGGAUAUAAUAGAUGAUUAAAUUCUAUGGAUUAUGGGUAUUCAAUACCUAUGUAAUUAUUUUCAGUAUGAUUUGACAUUUUUAUUUUUUCAGUUAA